rnacentral:rRNA from 1 species
AAUCAACGCUGGCGGCGUGCCUCAGACAUGCAAGUCGAACGCGAAAGUCCCCCUCGGGGGACAAGUAGAGUGGCGCACGGGUGAGUAACACGUAGGUAAUCUACCUUCGGGUGGGGAAUAACAAUCGGAAACGGUUGCUAAUACCGCAUAAUGCAGCGGCACCUAAUGGUGACAGUUGUUAAAGCGGGGGAUCGCAAGAUCUCGCGCCUGAAGAGGAGCCUGCGGCGGAUUAGCUAGUUGGUAGGGUAAUGGCCUACCAAGGCGACGAUCCGUAGCCGGCCUGAGAGGGCGGUCGGCCACACUGACACUGACAUACGGGUCAGACUCCUACGGGAGGCAGCAGUCGGGAAUUUUGGGCAAUGGGCGAAAGCCUGACCCAGCAACGCCGCGUGAAGGAUGAAAUCCCUCGGGAUGUAAACUUCGCAAGAACGGGAAGAAUAAAGUUUGUGCUAAUACCACAAGCGAUGAGGUACUGUUUGUAAGCUCCGGCUAACUCCGUGCCAGCAGCCGCC